AUGAACGCUGGCGGCGUGUCUAAGGCAUGCAAGUCGAGCGACGCCCCCUCGCAAGAGGGGAUACGAGCGGCAAACGGGUGAGUAACACAUUGGUAACCUGCCUCCAAGUCGGAGAUAGCUCGCCGAAAGGCGAAUUAAUAUCCGAUAGUCAUGCGGGGUCGAAAGACAUUCGCAUGUAAAGGUUUUUCGCUUGGAGAGGGGCCUAUGGCCUAUCAGCUAGUUGGUGAGGUAAUGGCUCACCAAGGCUACGACGGGUAGCAGGCGUGAGAGCGCGACCUGCCUCAGUGGGACUGAGACACUGCCCACACUCCUACGGGAGGCUGCAGUCAAGAAUAUUCCUCAAUGGCCGAAAGGCUGAAGGAGCGACGCCGCGUGUAGGAUGAAGGUCUUCGGAUUGUAAACUACUUUUAUAGGGGACGAAUUAGUGACGGUACCCUAAGAAUAAGAGGUUGCUAACUCUGU
rnacentral:rRNA from 1 species